UGAAAUUUAUGUACAUAUAAUUGUAUUUAUAUACUACCAAACAAAUAAAACGAAUAAAUUUUAAAGUAUACAGUUAUACCUUAAAUUCGUUUCUUUACCUAACCUUUUACCCAUGUAUAAGAAAAUAUAUAAUAAGAAAUAAUCAAAAUUGAAAUAAAAAAAUGAAAAAUACAAUAUUACAACAAUAUUUACUACCAUUGAGUAUAUACUACCGAUUGAUUGUUUAGAAUGAAACUCUGAAACAAACCAUCGAAGAAGAAAGAGAAAAAUGUACUGAUGCUUCCGACUCUACCGCCAAUUUAACAAGAAACCGUCAGAGCAUGUUUUGCUGCAGCUAAAUUAAACAAUUGCAAACAAAGAAGAUAUACUAUUGGGUACUUUACUGCUCGAUGAAGUAGCUUUAAGCGACGCUAUAAAAUUAAAUCAACGAACAAUGCAGCUUCAUGGUUUCAAUUUAUGUGGGAAAUAAAGGCCUGGUGUUAAUUGAUUGUAAUUCCUUUAAACAAAAAAAU